CGCGUAGGCGGCCAUCUUUGUCAGGUGUGAAAGCCCUGGGCUCAACCUGGGAAUUGCACUUGGGACGGGGUGGCUUGAGUUCGGGAGAGGAGAGUGGAAUUCCCAGUGUAGAGGUGAAAUUCGUAGAUAUUGGGAAGAACACCGGUGGCGAAGGCGGCUCUCUGGACCGAUACUGACGCUGAGGCGCGAAAGCGUGGGGAGCAAACAGGAUUAGAUACCCUGGUAGUCCACGCCGUAAACGAUGUGUGCUAGACGUUGGGGAGCCUAGCUCUUCGGUGUCGCAGCUAACGCGGUAAGCACACCGCCUGGGGAGUACGGCCGCAAGGUUAAA
rnacentral:rRNA from 1 species